AGAAAUAUGUCUGACAAAAGAGUUACUUUGAUAGAGUAAAUGAUAGGAGUCUAAACCUCCUUAUUUCUA
rnacentral:tRNA from 1 species